CUUACACAUGCAAGUCGAGCGAUGAAACUUUAACAGAACCCUUCGGGGCGAAGAUAAAGUGGAUUAGCGGCGGACGGGUGAGUAACACGUGAGUAACCUGCCUUAGACAUUGGGAUAGCCUCGGGAAACCGGGAUUAAUACCAAAUAAAAUCAUAAUGACACAUGUCAUAACGAUCAAAACUCCGGUGGUCUAAGAUGGACUCGCGUCCCAUUAGCUAGUUGGUAGAGUAAAAGCCUACCAAGGCGACGAUGGGUAGCCGGCCUGAGAGGGUGAACGGCCACAUUGGAACUGAGAAACGGUCCAAACUCCUACGGGAGGCAGCAGAAGGG
rnacentral:rRNA from 1 species